rnacentral:rRNA from 1 species
UAGGGAAUUUUGGACAAUGGGCGAAAGCCUGAUCCAGCCAUGCCGCGUGAGUGAAGAAGGCCUUCGGGUUGUAAAGCUCUUUUAGUCGGAAAGAAAGAGUUGCAAUGAAUAAUUGUGAUUUAUGACGGUACCGACAGAAAAAGCACCGGCUAACUACGUGCCAGCAGCCGCGGUAAUACGUAGGGUGCGAGCGUUAAUCGGAAUUACUGGGCGUAAAGGGUGCGCAGGCGGUCUUGCAAGUCAGAUGUGAAAGCCCCGGGCUUAACCUGGGAAUUGCGUUUGAAACUACAAGACUAGAGUGCAGCAGAGGGGAGUGGAAUUCCAUGUGUAGCAGUGAAAUGCGUAGAGAUGUGGAAGAACACCGAUGGCGAAGGCAGCUCCCUGGGUUGACACUGACGCUCAUGCACGAAAGCGUGGGGAGCAAACA